CCCUUAGAUGUUCUGGGCUGCACGCGCGCUACACUGACGAAGUCAGCGAGCAUGUCCUACGCCGACAGGUGCGGGGAAUCUUGUCAAACUUCGUCGUGAUGGGGAUUGAUUUUUGAAAUUCUUGAUCAUAAACGAGGAAUUCCUAGUAAGCGCAAGUCAGCAGCUUGCGUUGAUUACGUCCCUGCCCUUUGUACACACCGCCCGUCGCUACUACCGAUUGAAUGGUUUAGUGAGAUCUUCGGAUUGGCGCCACUGCGGCUCAGCAAUGGGCUUGGUGGAUGCCGAAAAGUUGAUCAAACUUGAUCAUUUAGAGGAAGUAAAAGUCGUAACA
rnacentral:rRNA from 1 species